CGGACGAACGGCUGGCGGCGUGCCUAACACAUGCAAGUCGAGCGGAGAUAUAUGGAAGGUUUACCGGAAAAUAUAUCUUAGCGGCGGACGGGUGAGUAACGCGUGGGCAACCUGCCUCAUACAGGGGGAUAACACAGGGAAACUUGUGCUAAUACCGCAUGAAAUCAUAGUAUGGCAUCAUACAAUGAUCAAAGGAGCAAUCCGGUAUGAGAUGGGCCCGCGUCCGAUUAGCUAGUUGGUGAGGUAACGGCUCACCAAGGCGACGAUCGGUAGCCGAACUGAGAGGUUGAUCGGCCACAUUGGGACUGAGACACGGCCCAGACUCCUACGGGAGGCAGCAGUGGGGAAUAUUGCGCAAUGGGGGAAACCCUGACGCAGCAACGCCGCGUGAAGGAAGAAGGCCUUCGGGUUGUAAACUUCUUUGAUAGGGGACGAUAAUGACGGUACCCUAAAAACAAGCCACGGCUAACUACGUG
rnacentral:rRNA from 1 species